rnacentral:sRNA from 1 species
CGAUGGACGGUCGGGUGCAGCUGAUAAAGGCCCUCCUGGCCUUGCCGAUCCGGCCUGCGACGCGUCGCUGGAGGAAUCCGAUUCCCUUUCCCGAGACGUUUGACGGCGAUACCGACCGACUCCCGGAGUUCAUCGUGCAGACGGGCUCCUACAUGUUCGUGGACGAGAACACGUUCUCCAGCGACGCCCUGAAGCUGCAAGCUGGGCUCCUGUUACACACUGGACAGACCACCCACUGCCGCCGCUGCCAAGCCCUCUCCUCCGCACCAGACUGCCAGACGACUACAUCAUUCUGCCCACAGACCUGCGCUGCCACUGCCAUCGCCAUCCAUCGCAUCCAUCGCAUCCCACCGACAGACUGCUGCUCCUAGUGAUCUGGACUCACCUCGGAGGUAUCUGGGCUGGACACAGUCCCUGGACAGUGAUCCAGACAGCUGGCCGCCCCCCAAGGGAUCUGUCACCUUCAGCGAGACCUAUUUCCUCCCCACCCCCAGAAACCUCUUGUGUUCUUGCCUAGGCCCAGGUGUGCCUGGCAGCCAAAUCGAGUCUCUCAUUUUCUCUUGUGGACCAGUUAGUUUUGCCCAUAA